GACACUGGUAAUGGUACUCCUGUUUACUGGGAUAGGGUUCGACUCCCUGUGGUGUC
rnacentral:snRNA from 1 species